rnacentral:rRNA from 1 species
UAAGAAGGGGGCUAGCGUUGCUCGGAAUCACUGGGCGUAAAGGGUGCGUAGGCGGGUUUUUAAGUCAGGGGUGAAAUCCUGGAGCUCAACUCCAGAACUGCCUUUGAUACUGAAGAUCUUGAGUCCGGGAGAGGUGAGUGGAACUGCGAGUGUAGAGGUGAAAUUCGUAGAUAUUCGCAAGAACACCAGUGGCGAAGGCGGCUCACUGGCCCGAUACUGACGCUGAGGCACGAAAGCGUGGGGAGCAAACAGG